UACGAAGGGGCUAGCGUUGUUCGGAAUUACUGGGCGUAAAGCGCGCGCAGGCGGUCUUCCAAGUCAGUGGUGAAAGCCCGGAGCUCAACUCCGGAACUGCCAUUGAAACUGUUAGACUUGAGGAUGAGAGAGGUGAGUGGAAUUCCCAGUGUAGAGGUGAAAUUCGUAGAUAUUGGGAAGAACACCGGUGGCGAAGGCGGCUCACUGGCUCAUUACUGACGCUCAGGCGCGAUAGCGUGGGGAGUCAAACAGG
rnacentral:rRNA from 1 species